GGCAGUAGGAAGACCAAGGCUAAGGCAGUGUCUGGCUCACAGACAGAGCUGAGCUCGGGUUUUCCGUGGGCGCAUCCAUAGACGUGAGGCCUCGCACCGGAGCCCUGGACGGCGCUGGAGCUGGCAGCUCUAGAGGCUGGGAAGUCCAAGAUCGGGGUACCAGCGCGGUCGGAUUCCGGUGAACGCCCUCUUGCAGGUUGCAGACCGCCUUCUUCUCGCUGUGUCCUCGCAUGAGUUAACCAUUCACCUCACUCCCAAAGACUCAGGUGAAUCAGAGUCAACACGGACCUCUCAGCGACAUCCUUCAGGGAGGUAAAA